UUUCAGAAACUAAAAGUACUUGCAACGAUGGCUGCAAAGCUGGCAUUGGUAUAGCGGUAGUUCUUGUAGUCAUCUGUGGAGGUUAUACAGCCAGGAGAAGAUAUAUCCGAGUCACAACAAUGGUCGAGGUGAUAGAAUAAGGACAAGCACGACAUUCAGCAUGCCAUGUGGUCAUUCAUCUACAAGGAUCUACACUUAUAUCAAGCAAGUCAGCGUUUCAUGAAGCAAAAAGUUGUAAUAUUGCAUGUGAUUGUAAUGGUUGAUACAACAGUUCACCAGUGCUGAUUUGAAAAAAAAAAUGUAAUCAUGUUAUCAGUUCAAAGCAAGAAAGUCAUUUAUUCAAGUUUUUUCAUAAUCACAUUAGCACAUUUUUGCAAGAGAAAAAUUUUCUUAAAUGAUAAGUGACAAUAGAAACAAUAGAACGCAUUGUUUAUCAACAUUACGAAUUUUCGUUGCUUCUGUUUGUUAGAGUGUUUUUAUUAAAACGUUUUUAUGUUAUUUUUCGAUUCUCAAAUAUAACAAUCACCACUCUACCACCUGUUACUCACAUGGCCAAGUUUUUUGUGCUUGUUAUUUCGACUCAAGUGAUUUCUUUUCAGCGCACUGACUGUACAGAAGUUUUUUAAA